GAUGAACGCUGGCGGCGUGCCUAAUACAUGCAAGUCGAGCGAACAGACGAGGAGCUUGCUCCUCUGACGUUAGCGGCGGACGGGUGAGUAACACAUGGAUAACCUACCUAUAAUACUGGGAUGACUUCGGGAGGCCACAGCUAAUAACAGAUCAUAUAUUCAACCGCAUGGAUCAAUAGUGAAAGACGGUUUUGCUGUCACUUAUAGAUGGAUCCGCGCCGCAUUAGCUAGUUGGUAAGGUAACGGCUUACCAAGGCAACGAUGCGUAGCCGACCUGAGAGGAUGAUCAGCCACACUGGAACUGAGACACGGUCCAGACUCCUACGGGAGGCAGCAGUGGGGAAUAUUGCGCAAUGGGCGAAAGCCUGAUCCAGCCAUACCGCGUGGGUGAAGAAGGCCUUCGGGUUGUAAAGCCCUGUUAUUGGGAAAGAAAAGCAGCAGGUGAAAACCCGGCUGUUCUGACGGUACCCAAAGAAUAAGCACCGGCUAACUUCGUG
rnacentral:rRNA from 1 species